ACCCUCCCACAGACGCACGGUUCGCGGCCGCGGGGCGUGCCCGCGCGGAACGCGGGGAUGGCGAGGGCAAGCGCGUGUGGGCUGUUGUCAUUUUGUCGUGCGCGCCUUGUCCCUGUCGAGCGAGCGAACCGCCUUUUCGCGAGAUGAUGCUCGUGGCGGUUGCUUGAUUCCUCCCGGUGGCAGCAACACGAAGAGCUGUAUGACCGGGGUUGGGAUGUUUCAGAGGGUGUCAGUGUCAGCGGCGGCAGUGGCAGCGCCUGGCUUCUCCGCGCAGCGUCGAUCCGGACACGAUACAGAUCUUCAUGAAUUCUGUUUUGCUUCACUGAUUUGAUCAACUGAUAAACCUUGAUGUUGCCUGCCAAUUUUGACCAUGAGAUUUUCUUAGGACUGCUGUGUUGGAUGGUAUAGGAAAUAUGGACCUGACUAACGGGCAAUCGAGCACUAUAUAUUUACAAGCCACAGCUUCUGAGAGAAGCAGCAGCUCUGAGUCUCUAAGUGAGAAAGCCUCUAAUGAUCCCAAGAAAAGUUUUGAUGCAGUGGUAUUUGAUGUCCUGAAGGUAACACCAGAAGAGUUUGCAAGUCAGAUAACAUUAAUGGAUGCACCAGUUUUUAAAGCAAUUCAACCUGAGGAGCUAUCAAGUUGUGGGUGGAACAAAAAAGAAAAACACAGUUCUUCGCCAAAUGUUGUAGCUUUUACGAGAAGGUUUAAUCAUUUUCAAAAUAACAAAAAAGGAAAAGGGCCCGAAGCAAAAGAUUGGGCACCCUGCAUGGUCAGCUUCUGGGUUGUCCGAGAGGUUCUUACUGCACAAACUCUAAAAAUCAGAGCAGAAGUUUUGAGCCACUAUGUGAAAACUGCAAAGAAAUUAUAUGAGAUAAAUAACCUACAUGCGCUAAUGGCUGUCGUGUCCGGAUUGCAGAGUGCGCCCAUCUUCAGGCUUACAAAAACGUGGGCGCUUUUGAGCAGAAAAGAUAAAACAACUUUUGAAAAAUUAGAGUAUCUGGUGUCUAAAGAAGAUAAUUACAAGAGGCUCAGGGAUUACAUUAAUAGUUUGAAGAUGACUCCAUGUAUUCCAUAUCUAGGCAUUUAUUUGUCUGAUUUGACAUAUAUUGACUCUGCAUACCCAUCCACACACAGCAUCAUAGAGUGUGAACAAAGAUCGAACCUAAUGAACAAUAUUUUGAGGAUCAUUUCUGAUCUUCAGCAGUCUUGUGAUUAUGAUAUCCCCUUGUUGCCUCAUGUUCAGAAAUACCUGAAUUCAGUGCGAUACAUUGAAGAACUUCAGAAAUUUGUUGAGGAUGACAAUUAUAAAUUGUCAUUAAGAAUUGAGCCUGGCACCAGUACAUCACAGUCCACUGCAUCAAGGGAAGAUCUUGCUGGACCUGAUGUGGCGCCAUCCCCACAGAGCAGCCGGCGAAGUAUGGCAGCAGAGGCAGCCCUAAUGAAUAUACCACCGACUCCACCUUCUUCCAGGCAUCUGUUUACACAUGGACAUAGGAAGUCCCACAGCCUCGGAUACAACUUUAUACACAAGAUGAAUACAGCUGAGUUUAAAAGUGCUACAUUUCCCAAUGGAAGACCUCGGCAUCUGCUGGAUGACAGUGUAAUGGAAAACUACACUCCUUCAAGAGUCCAGGCAGAAAGUUCCACAAUUUCCAGUGGAAUAUCACUAGGUAGCAGUGAAGGUUCUGAACUCAGUGAAGAAGUGUCAUGGCCAGCAUUUGAAAGGAACCGUUUCUAUUAUUCCCUUUGUCCAGUGCCACGAGUUGGGAGGAAUGGCUCUCGAGGGCACAUGAAAACCCACAGUUCUGUGGAAUCUGAAGAGCUGGCAGUGAACUUCUUCCCGGGAUGUGUCAUAAUUCAAGGAGUUUUGAGAAGGAAAACGCUACUGAAAGAAGGAAAAAAGCCUACGGUUGCAUCAUGGACCAAGUAUUGGGUGGCACUAUGUGGAACAAAACUAUAUUACUAUUCAGCCAAAUCUUUAAAACCGACAGAAAGAAAACAUUUCAAAUCAAGUUUAAGUAAGAGUGUUUCUGUUGUGGGUUGGAUGGUAAUGAUGGCUGAUGAUCCAGAGCAUCCAGAUGUUUUCCAGCUUACAGACUCUGAAAAGGGGAAUUCUUACAAAUUCCAAGCUGGUAAUAGAGAGAAUGCAAUGCUAUGGUUUAAGCAUUUGAGUUCUGCCUGCCAAAGCAACAGACAACAGCUUCGUCUCCUGCCUUCUCGAUUCUUGCACUAUUUCCCAAGCAGAGCGGGAUAAUUCCUGUGCCAGGCUUUCCCUCGAUUUGAUCACGCUGACUGGCAACCCUCUGGCCUUCAUGUCUGUAGUCGCCUCUUCCACUGUCUGAUACAGUUGGAUCCCAUCUUGAUAAAACACUCGAAGUUUAGCAGGGUCCCUGCAAACUUGAUGUCUUUUGAAUGACCGAACAGUGGCGUAAUUCAAGACUUGUCUGCAGGCUUGAUGGAUGCUUGCAGUUCAUGAAAGGACCUCUUGGAAGAGUUCCACAUUUGUUCUUUCUGUGCCAGGAUUGAAUCCAGAGAUGUGCUUAGUAUUUUUAUAUUGGAGCACAAACUUCACAGCACCAACCACCAAGACUUAGUGACAAUAUUGUGGUUGUCUUGGAGCAGCUAAGAAGCAUUUGAUAAGAGAUCUGAAUCUCUGAGGACUGUGCAUCCCAAUUGCACUGACUGCCCUGUGGAACCACUGCCUUAAGUAAAAGAUUUGUUUCACCAAAUAGAGUAUAUGUUAUAACCAGUAAUGCUGGACUUUUUGAUACAUAAAAUCCAGCUAGAUUACAGUUACUGUAGUUAACUGUUUUGGGAGUACUUAAGAUUUUGUUUUGCAUUUCCUAUCCUUUCAUCAUUAAUUUUGCUUACUUGCUCUAGUCUAGUUAACCCAUGUUGGGUACGGAAAUGGAAUGAGCAAUCCAUGUAGUCAACAGUAUUACCAUGUAGAAUUGCACAUCCAUAGGUUUUUAAUACCUAAAAUACUUUAUUUUGUUGGAAAAGUGUUUUAACUGAACUAUUUUGUACCCAUGUAAUAUUCUUUUUUUUUAAUUUUUACAAUGUGAACAGUUUUCCUGUGGAUUUUAUUAUCUGCUGCAAUCUUGAAUGAAAAAACCUACCUGUGGUAACUUUGUACUAUGAACAUUCAGAUUUGCCAUUUGACUAUUGUAUAUUUUUCUCAGUCUCUCCAGUAGUGUGUACAGCUUGCUUUGAGCUCUUGCAUUCUGUUAACACAUAGUCUGUAUUCUAAUUAGUAAUCCUGAAGUACUACUGAUCCUGAAGAUAUGUUUCUAAUGCUUUUUGUGUAACUGGUGUCAUUUUCAUCACUUUGGAUGUAGUGUGUAUGUGUGUGUUUGCACAAGCAAGUUUAAAAACUCUUUAAGUACAAUUACAGAAAGUUUUCCUACACAAUUAAUGCUGUUUCCACUAAUCAAUAUAAUCAGGAAGGAGAAUAGUUGGAAUCAUUUCCAAGGAGGCAUCCUUAAGUUAUGAAAAAGCAAAAUCUGAACUGUAGCUGCAUCUGAGGCCUUCCAAGUACAUGUAAGCACACAAGGGUUCCUACAGUAAGCUAAGUAGUCAUUACAUUUCUUUUUAGCUUAUCUUCUUGAUGUAUUUUUACUUAUUUGUUCAAACCAAAGUGCACAUCAUUACUAAUAUGUUUUACAAUGUUACAGAAAUUGUAACAACUGGUUGCCUAACCUAAUGUUAUAAACGUAGUUUCCACCAGAAGUUGGUUGUUACGCAAAUGUUUUUAAGUUGGAUUUGUUCCAUUAUAAUGCAGGCUAGAAGUACUCAUUAAUGCUGUAAUUAUAGAUGUGGGAACCAGAUGUUUUACCGGUUUUCUUUCCAGUAUUUCCAUCCAUGUCUUGUUCACAAUCCAAGAGCAAUACUUCACAAAACUGAUUAGAGGACACAAUUUUGGGGAAUGGUUAAGGAUGCAUUGGAUAGAGGUUUUCAAGUUUUCUAACAUAGUUUUGUUAAAGCAAUGUAAAAGCAGUUAUGAAAUUACAGUGAGUUUCACUUCCCAUAUUCAUUUGAGUUCUUAAUCUUAGUCCAGUUACCUAAGGAUCGGAAUGCACAAAAACUGGACCUUGGACAUGAAUGAUAAAAAUUCUCCCUUGAAAGAGAUGACAUAGUUUAUCUGAGAGAUAUUGAAGCAUAAUUAUCCUGUUACUUAUUUUCCUCAUUUGGAUAUCUUAGCAAAUGAUAUACAGUGAGGACAAUAUCUCAACUAAGUAAUAGGAAAAAUACUAGGUUUAGUAUUGAUUUUAUUAAUUUCAAUAUUUUAUAAAUUCAUUCAAAAUUUAGCUAACGUAGUUAAUACAAGUCCUUAAUUUAAAUCUUGGAAAUUUGUUGAGGAUACUAAUGAUGCUCAUUCUGCUGUAGAUACUAAAAAUCUUAGAACAAAUAUUUCCAUAAUUCUAUGCAGUUGGCUUGCCAGGCCACUAAUUUUUAGAACUCAUGUACAUUAAUGCGGCACAAGGUCAAGCAAAAGGUGGUGAUGACUGCACCCAGAGACCUUGUAAGUCAUAGACUGCUGUAAAUUUACUCUGCUGCAACAGGGGUUUGUUUUGUUUUUGUUUUCUGCCCUGCCUUAAUUGCUAUUUGAUUUUGGCAUCUCAAGACUAAGAACUAAAUCUAAAUCCUUUUAAAAUAUUGAAGGAUUGACUAUGUGACAAGGGUGUUGUCAACAUUUGUGGAACAGAGUUAUACAAAGAGGUUGGACAGCCCAGAACCUUAUUUUAUGGAGCUUUGAACACUGAGAAGUGAUCUUAUAGAGAUGUAUGAAAAUCAUGAGGGGCAUAAAUAGAGUAAAUGCACUCAGUCUUUUUCCCAAGAUUUAGAAAUCUAGCAUUAGAAGAUAGACUAUUGGUUUAAGGCAAGAGGGAAAAGAUUUAAUAGGAACUUGGUGGACUGCAUUUUUUAUUACACGAAAGGUGCUAUCUUUGUUGAAUGAGCUGCCAUGGAAGCAAUUAAGGCAGGUGGAAUAACAGCUUUUUAAGGACAGUUAAAAGAUUGGAAAUGUUGAGAGCUUUAUGGAGUAUUAUUAGUUGAGCUGAAUGGCCUAUUUCCACACUGUAUAGCUCUAUGACUCUUAAGUGAAGGUUAGAGUUUUGAUAGAUUAAAGAGAUUUCAUUCAGUUCACUGAAGGAGAAUAUUAAGUACAGACCUAAGACAAGAGGAGGCAAGAUGGAUUAAUUUCAGACAUCUCCAGCAUUAAAUGUUGAUAUCAUGAAACAAUAGCAAAAGAUUAAAAAGAAAAGUAUAUCUGGUAUAAGUUAUAGGAUAAGUUGAGUUACUCACCAAAGCUUCAGUGUUUUCAGAUGUGUAGUCAUGUGCUAGGUAGAAAUUCAUUUGUUUGCUGUAUAUGUUAAUCAAGUAAUGUGGCAAUGUUUAUUCAUUGAACUCCAUCUUUGAAGUUCUUUUCCAUUUUAUUAAUUGGAACAGGUUUUUCCCCAGUUUUGGAAGUGCUCUUUCAGGGAAAGAUCCAUGGCUUCAAUAUGUGUCAUAGUAGUUCUGUCAUGUUAUAAACUUAGCUUCUCAAUUAAAUGCUCAAAAAAGUUGUUUCAACAAUUAUUUCAAUGGAAAUGCCCAAAUAAAUAAUCUGAUAUCAUUCCAUAUAUAUUUUCAGUUGAAAAUUCUGUUGCAAAAUUACCCACAUUUACUAGUUACGCAUCAGGGUAGUGGGCACCAAGAGGAAAUAUUUGUACAAGCUUGGAUUAUACACAAAAAUAUAUAAUUAUAGUUGUUGGAGAUGAACCACCUCAACCAUCAGUGCAGGAGUACUCUAGGUAUAAACAUCUUCAGUUGAAAUAUCAACCAUAAGCCACAGCAUAGUGGUUACGAUGGUGCAAUUACAGCGCAGGGUGUCAUAGUUCAAUUCCAACACCAUCUGUGAGGAUUUUGUAUGUCCUCUGCAUUAACGCAUGGGUUUCCUCCAGGUGCUCUUGUUUCCUCCCACAUUCCAAAGGCAUACCAGUUAGUAGGUUAAUUGGUCAUUGUAAAUUAUUUUGUGAAUAGGCUGGGAUUAAAUAGAAGUGAACAGCAUUUUUGUUUGCUCAUCAUGCCCCUAAAUUUGAACGAGAAUUGAUUUUCUCCGUCAUAAGCCUAUAGAUGCUAAGCUUCAGUGUAUCACCUCUGCUGUUGUAUGAACCUGGACCUUGGGUGGGUGGUGCAGCUUGUUGGGCCAGAAGGGCUUAGUCCACGCUGUAUAUCUAAAUUAAUAAAUAAGAUCAGACUUAUGUUUUGGAACAAUCAGGAUUUGACAGCAAGAUCUGGUUCAAUAAUUUUUAAACAGCAAGAAACUAAUAAAUACUAAUUUCAUGAAGGUUAUGUGUGAGCAUUACAUGUCAUGAGAUUGAUUCCUGGAAUGAUCAGAUUGCUAAAUGAGUAAUAUUCUCACUGAGUUCAGAAAAAUCAGAUAUGAUUUUAUUGCAACAGAUCAUCUGAUUCACACAAUCAUUUUUUCAGCCAUAGGUAUGGUCGCAACCCCUAACACAUUUUAUUUGUUUUUCAGAGUGAUAUUGCUGAGAAGCUCAGCAGUUCAUCUCUGGCAAAGCCGAGAUGAUUUUGGCUUCACUGGAUGUUAGGUGACAGGUCUUUGUGCAUACUGAUGGAAUUAGCCUUAAAAGGUACAUUCU